rnacentral:rRNA from 1 species
GACGAACGCUGGCGGCGUGCUUAACACAUGCAAGUCGAACGAUGAAGCCUUUCGGGGUGGAUUAGUGGCGAACGGGUGAGUAACACGUGGGCAAUCUGCCCUGUACUUUGGGAUAAGCCUUGGAAACGAGGUCUAAUACCGGAUAUGACUGGCCUUCGUCAUGGGGGUUGGGUUGGUAAAGUUACUUGGCGGGUACGAGGAUGAGCCCGCCGGCCUAUCAGCUUGUUGGU